UACGAAGGGUGCUAGCGUUGUUCGGAUUUACUGGGCGUAAAGCGUGCGCAGGCGGUUUUGUAAGUCAGGUGUGAAAUCCCCGGGCUUAACCUGGGAACUGCGUUUGAAACUACAAGGCUAGAGUGUGGCAGAGGGGGGUGGAAUUCCACGUGUAGCAGUGAAAUGCGUAGAGAUGUGGAGGAACACCGAUGGCGAAGGCAGCCCCCUGGGUUAACACUGACGCUCAGGCACGAAAGCGUGGGGAGCAAACAGG
rnacentral:rRNA from 1 species